rnacentral:misc_RNA from 1 species
CCGAGUGAGGGCCCUCCGGGUCCAACCUCCCACCCGUGUCUAUCGUACCUUGUUGCUUCGGCGGGCCCGCCAUACGGCCGCCGGGGGGUUCCUGCCCCCGGGCCCGCGCCCGCCGGAGACAUCAUUGAACGCUGUCUGAAGAUUGCAGUCUGAGCGAAUAGCGAAAUUAGUUA